rnacentral:rRNA from 1 species
UGAGGGAAAGGCGAAAAGAACCCCGGCGAGGGGAGUGAAAAAGAACCUGAAACCGUGUACGUACAAGCAGUGGGAGCCUCUUUAUGGGGUGACUGCGUACCUUUUGUAUAAUGGGUCAGCGACUUAUAUUCUGUAGCAAGGUUAACCAAAUAGGGGAGCCGAAGGGAAACCGAGUCUUAACUGGGCGUUAAGUUGCAGGGUAUAGACCCGAAACCCGGUGAUCUAGCCAUGGGCAGGUUGAAGGUUGGGUAACACUAACUGGAGGACCGAACCGACUAAUGUUGAAAAAUUAGCGGAUGACUUGUGGCUGGGGGUGAAAGGCCAAUCAAACCGGGAGAUAGCUGGUUCUCCCCGAAAGCUAUUUAGGUAGCGCCUCGUGAAUUCAUCUCCGGGGGUAGAGCACUGUUUCGGCAAGGGGGUCAUCCCGACUUACCAACCCGAUGCAAACUGCGAAUACCGGAGAAUGUUAUCACGGGAGACACACGGCGGGUGCUAACGUCCGUCGUGAAGAGGGAAACAACCCAGACCGCCAGCUAAGGUCCCAAAGUCAUGGUUAAGUGGGAAACGAUGUGGGAAGGCCCAGACAGCCAGGAUGUUGGCUUAGAAGCAGCCAUCAUUUAAAGAAAGCGUAAUAGCUCACUGGUCGAGUCGGCCUGCGCGGAAGAUGUAACGGGGCUAAACCAUGCACCGAAGCUGCGGCAGCGACGCUUAUGCGUUGUUGGGUAGGGGAGCGUUCUGUAAGCCUGUGAAGGUGUACUGUGAGGUAUGCUGGAGGUAUCAGAAGUGCGAAUGCUGACAUAAGUAACGAUAAAGCGGGUGAAAAGCCCGCUCGCCGGAAGACCAAGGGUUCCUGUCCAACGUUAAUCGGGGCAGGGUGAGUCGACCCCUAAGGCGAGGCCGAAAGGCGUAGUCGAUGGGAAACAGGUUAAUAUUCCUGUACUUGGUGUUACUGCGAAGGGGGGACGGAGAAGGCUAUGUUGGCCGGGCGACGGUUGUCCCGGUUUAAGCGUGUAGGCUGGUUUUCCAGGCAAAUCCGGAAAAUCAAGGCUGAGGCGUGAUGACGAGGCACUACGGUGCUGAAGCAACAAAUGCCCUGCUUCCAGGAAAAGCCUCUAAGCAUCAGGUAACAUCAAAUCGUACCCCAAACCGACACAGGUGGUCAGGUAGAGAAUACCAAGGCGCUUGAGAGAACUCGGGUGAAGGAACUAGGCAAAAUGGUGCCGUAACUUCGGGAGAAGGCACGCUGAUAUGUAGGUGAAGCGACUUGCUCGUGGAGCUGAAAUCAGUCGAAGAUACCAGCUGGCUGCAACUGUUUAUUAAAAACACAGCACUGUGCAAACACGAAAGUGGACGUAUACGGUGUGACGCCUGCCCGGUGCCGGAAGGUUAAUUGAUGGGGUUAGCGGCAACGCGAAGCUCUUGAUCGAAGCCCCGGUAAACGGCGGCCGUAACUAUAACGGUCCUAAGGUAGCGAAAUUCCUUGUCGGGUAAGUUCCGACCUGCACGAAUGGCGUAAUGAUGGCCAGGCUGUCUCCACCCGAGACUCAGUGAAAUUGAACUCGCUGUGAAGAUGCAGUGUACCCGCGGCAAGACGGAAAGACCCCGUGAACCUUUACUAUAGCUUGACACUGAACAUUGAGCCUUGAUGUGUAGGAUAGGUGGGAGGCUUUGAAGUGUGGACGCCAGUCUGCAUGGAGCCGACCUUGAAAUACCACCCUUUAAUGUUUGAUGUUCUAACGUUGGCCCCUUAUCGGGGUUGCGGACAGUGUCUGGUGGGUAGUUUGACUGGGGCGGUCUCCUCCUAAAGAGUAACGGAGGAGCACGAAGGUUGGCUAAUCCUGGUCGGACAUCAGGAGGUUAGUGCAAUGGCAUAAGCCAGCUUGACUGCGAGCGUGACGGCGCGAGCAGGUGCGAAAGCAGGUCAUAGUGAUCCGGUGGUUCUGAAUGGAAGGGCCAUCGCUCAACGGAUAAAAGGUACUCCGGGGAUAACAGGCUGAUACCGCCCAAGAGUUCAUAUCGACGGCGGUGUUUGGCACCUCGAUGUCGGCUCAUCACAUCCUGGGGCUGAAGUAGGUCCCAAGGGUAUGGCUGUUCGCCAUUUAAAGUGGUACGCGAGCUGGGUUUAGAACGUCGUGAGACAGUUCGGUCCCUAUCUGCCGUGGGCGCUGGAGAACUGAGGGGGGCUGCUCCUAGUACGAGAGGACCGGAGUGGACGCAUCACUGGUGUUCGGGUUGUCAUGCCAAUGGCACUGCCCGGUAGCUAAAUGCGGAAGAGAUAAGUGCUGAAAGCAUCUAAGCACGAAACUUGCCCCGAGAUGAGUUCUCCCUGACCCUUUAAGGGUCCUGAAGGAACGUUGAAGACGACGACGUUGAUAGGCCGGGUGUGUAAGCGCAGCGAUGCGUUGAGCUAACCGGUACUAAUGAACCGUGAGG